AACGAACGCUGGCGGCAGGCUUAACACAUGCAAGUCGAACGCAUCGCAAGAUGAGUGGCAGACGGGUGAGUAACGCGUGGGAACAUACCCUUUUCUACGGAAUAGCUCUGGGAAACUGGAAUUAAUACCGUAUACGCCCUACGGGGGAAAGAUUUUUCGGGGAAGGAUUGGCCCGCGUUGGAUUAGCUAGUUGGUGGGGUAAAGGCCUACAAAGGCGACGAUCCAUAGCUGGUCUGAGAGGAUGAUCAGCAACAUUGGGACUGAGACACGGCCCAAACUCCUACGGGAGGCAGCAGUGGGGAAUAUUGGACAAUGGGCGCAAGCCUGAUCCAGCCAUGCCGCGUGAGUGACGAAGGCCUUAGGGUUGUAAAGCUCUUUCACCGAUGAAGAUAAUGACGGUAGUCGGAGAAGAAGCCCCGGCUAACUUCGUGCCAGCCGCCGCGGUAA
rnacentral:rRNA from 1 species